rnacentral:sRNA from 1 species
AUGUACGUCAGUAUAUGGGGAUGUUUCCCCCACAUUCAACGCUGAGAAUAGAGGAAAAAUGAAAGGGGGGAUAAAAUCCCCCCUUUUUAGUUAA